ACGGCGAAGUGAAGCGGGAAGAGCUCAUGUUGUAAAUCUGGAUGAGGGUUCCUCGUCCCGAAUUGUAGUCUAGAGAUGCGUGCUCAGCUACUCUCCAGGGCUAAGUCUGUUUGUGAAAGACAGCAUCAUGGACGGUGAUAAUCCGGUUCUUGCCUUGGAUGUUGUAGCGUUUUGAGCCGUCCUCAACGAGUCGAGUUGCUUGGGAUUGCAGCUCUAAGUGGGUGGUAAAUUCCAUCUAAAGCUAAAUAUUGGUGGGAGACCGAUAGCGAACAAGUACCGUGAGGGAAAGAUGAAAAGAACUUUGAAAAGAGAGUCAAAUAGUACCUGAAACUGCUGAAAGGGAAGCGAAUGAAGUCAGUGUUGCGCUUUGUGCUCUGCAUCCUCCCUGCGGGGAUUGUGUAUCGAGGACUUUGCGCUUGUCAGGAUGAGUUCUCUGCCGCGGGAUAUGUUUUGCGUGCUGGACGCUUCGGCUGAACAUGCAUUCUCUGUCGUGGCUUGGACUGAGGUUCCAUCUUGCCUUUGCCUAUGCGUUUAUCUCUCGUCGCUGUCUCUGUUCUACUGCUUGCAGUGCUCAGUUGCCGUGGUUGGACUUGGCGUAUUAUGCAUGCAAGGUCAGGAUCCUGACGAAAUGGCUUUAUUUACCCCGUCUUG
rnacentral:rRNA from 1 species